GAUGAACGCUGGCGGCAUGCCUAACACAUGCAAGUCGAACGAGAUCUUCGGGUCUAGUGGCGCACGGGUGCGUAACGCGUGGGAAUCUGCCCUUUGUUUGGGAAUAACAGUUGGAAACGACUGCUAAUACCGGAUGAUGACGAAAGUCCCAAGAGUUAUCGCCCGAGGAUGAGCCCGCGUAGGAUUAGAUAGUUGGUGGGGUAAAGGCGCACCAAGGCGACGAUCCUUAGCUGGUCUGAGAGGAUGAUCAGCCACACUGGGACUGAGACACGGCCCAUACUCUUACGAGAGGCAUCAGUGGGGAAUCUUGAACAAUAGGCGAAAGCCUGAUCCAGCAAUUCCCCGUGUGGGAUGAAGGCCUUAGGGUUGUAAAGCCCUUUUACCCGGGAUGAUAAUUACAGUACCGGGGGAAUAAGCUCCGGCUAACUCCGUGCCAGCCGCCGCAGUAA
rnacentral:rRNA from 1 species